UGGGAUUAUUCAAAAAUUAAAGGAAUAAUCCACCAAGGGAUCACAAGAUGGCAAAAAUAAAAGGAGAAACGCUGGGAAAGUACUCAGUCGGCAAGACAUCCAAUCUGGAGCACUCAGGAAAAAGGCUUGGACUCAUUUAUACACUUUAAUAGAUGGCUAGGAACCGGGUUUGGAACCUACUGUCCUAAACCCUCCAAUUUUCUAGACUCAACAAAAUCCUUUAUAUGAUUAAAAGUAAAAAGUCAAUUCACACAAUGAUUAAAACCCUGAACUUUGCAGAGCAGAUGAUAAAUCAGUCCCAAACACUCUUUAAUUCUAACUUUUGGCCACCAACCGAUUCACUGCAUGAAAUUCAACAUCAUUUGAACUUUCUGUGUCUUAAUAUCUUCUUCAGAAAAAUGCCUAACCCCAAAGCAGUGCAUGGUGAUAGUUAAUGAACUAACAGAUCCAAAGGAGAAAUUUAAAGCACAUAAGCCUUUUUCCACUUGGCUGAUGGGGCAGUGAUGCCCUGGUGUUUGAAACAAAGGCAGAACAUCUACAACACAGAGUUUUUCUAGAGCAAGAGGCAGGGAAGGAAAGAAAGAGCCAAGUAUUGUUGGGGGAGUAUUUCUAACACUAUUUGAGGACAGGCAGAGAGUUUAAAAAUCAGAAGCGUUGAGCUGCACCUUGCAGGCCUGAAAGCCCUGAACUUGCCCAGCCUCAAGGCCAAAAAGCCUGGAGUCGGCAACAGAGACAUCAGUGGUUUCAUGGAUAGGAGAACAUCUAUGUCUGAUGCAAGGUGCUAGAGCAACACCCCACCUUGUGCAGCAGAGGGUAAGGGGACAAGGGAGGGCAGGAGGAGGCAGCAGUCUUUGCUCCCUAGGGAAGGGGAAGGUUGCCAGUUACAGAGGGAAUUGACAUCCAAUUGGCUCACAGGUUACCAAGGAAAUCAGCAGAAGGGCACACCCCUCACUUAUCAUGGUGGAGAGUCUGAUCUAAAGAUUAGAAACAUCACUGGCUAGGCCUGGGGUAAGUAUGUAGGAAGGUCAGUCAUGUGAGUGGGAGAGGUGAUGCAGGCACUGAUCAAGCAGGUGUACAGAGAACAAGAGAAGAGCCCUCUUGGGUGGCCUGACCACACAAGAACCACAAGGAAAUGUGUCAGCCCUGUACAUGAUAGACAAUUUCAAGGUAAAAAGGCUCACGGUCUUAGGAGACAAAUGGGCAAAUGGUAUAAAUACGAUGCAAAAGAGACCCAAAAAAAGUACAUACAGGAAACCUAUGAUAUAAUGACGAAUUCUUUCUUGAAAAGGGAUAAUCAGGGAUAUUUUCACAGAGGCGGUGAAUGCUGAGUUGGAUUUAACAAGAUAACAGACCUAAUACAUAGUAGAUGCCUGUUAAAUAGUUUUCAAAUAAGUGAAUUAAAGCCAUAGAAGUACCAGCAAGAGCCAGAGCAUGGCUGGUGGGAAUAUGGAAUUUCCGUAUUUCCAUUGUAGGAAAUGACGGUAACUUAUUUAGUAUCAUUGUCCAAGUGAAAAUCUAGAGGGAAAGGACCUCUUCCAUCUUUGGGAGACUGCAGACGGAUACCAAGACCAGGUCUCUGGGGGCUUGCAUACCAUACUUAUGUUUAUGAAUCUUUCUUGUUGGAUUUGGUCACUUACGGAAAUUUGGAUGCAAAGCACAUUGCAGGUAGAGGCACAGUGAUGGGCCAGGGAUGAACCAUCAGAUCCCCCUUCAGUGAAGGAACUGCAGGGUUUGCCAUCCCUGCAGAGUUGCCUGACCCAUGCUCAUCCCCUUUUGGGGGCAGCCCCCAUCCAAUGGCCAUGGGGGCAGGGGAUACAGGUCCAAAUAUUUGACACCCCCUGGGACAACUCUGACAGCCCUUUGAGCUCCAGAGCUGAUCACAAUCCAACUUCUCUUUUUCUCUCCCGGCCUUAGGGCCAUACCAGAACCACCAGAAGCACCUGAGGCAGAGAGCAAGGCAGAAUUCCUUUAUGUCAGGCAGGAAAUUCCAUCUUUCUGUCUCAGCCCCUCUUCCUUCCCCUGUGGCUCUAACCUUCAAGAUCAUCUGGUGGCAGCUCAUGUUUUGGAAUAAGUGGAGUCAAGCAAAAGGAAGCCUAGUUUGGGGAUCAAAAGGAGUUCAAGGCCAGUUUCUGUUGUGUCUCAGACAAGCCAUUUCACUUCUUGGAGAAUGAGGAGAGUAAGAGGAAAAAUUGGGAUGGAUAAGGCUAACAUCUGAGAUUUCAAAGUGGCAAUGAGCAAAUACAGGAGAUAAUGUGGGAAAAUGCUUCAUAAACUGCGUAUCCGUCCUUUCCAUGAAAACUGUCUAAAACAACAGAUCAUCGUUUCUACCUCUUGUUCAGACUGUGUCUAUGCCUCAGGGUUUUCCAGGCAAACUUUCUGUGGGGGUCAGAGGAGCUCCAAGAAAGGGUUAUACUACUUUAAAUGCUGGGAGAUCUGCAGGUGGGCCUCUUAAGUGCUCCAAGGAUGGGAAAAAUCAACACCCUUGAACAUGUCCUGUUGUUACUGGAUCUCUGCCUAUGCAUUCCCAACUCCGGGACACGGGAAGGGCAGAGUAGGAAUGAGAAAUAGAAAAUAGAUCUCAGCUCAAAUCAUAGGCCAUCCUUAGGAUGGGUAAGCUUGACCCCUUUAUGCCCAGGCAACCAAGGUCAUAUCUAAAAUAGAAAUGCUUACCCAACCAGGCAGAUGAGCAGCUCUACCUCAAAAGAGGGAACACCUACUGUUUCUUUCCCAUCAUGCUUUAGCCAAAAUUGGUUAUGAUGUAGUAUGUUAAGGCAGACACACACAAAAAAAAGAUAGUAUUCAAGGUAUUAGGAAAAAAAAAAACAGGGUAAUACCAAAAUGGUUACACCAAAAUGAUUACUUUUGGGAGAAAAGAUCACAGUUGAUCAUUAUUUCUUCCAUGUGCAUUUCAGUGUUUUUUUAUUUUGUUACCAUAAAGACAGUUAUCAUUUUGUGACCAGAUAAAAAUAAUUCUUGUAAC
ensembl:lncRNA